rnacentral:rRNA from 1 species
GACGAACGCUGGCGGCGUGCUUAACACAUGCCAGUCGAACGGAAAGGCCCUGCUUUUGUGGGGUGCUCGAGUGGCGAACGGGUGAGUAACACGUGAGUAACCUGCCCUUGACUUUGGGAUAACUUCAGGAAACUGGGGCCAAUACCGGAUAGGAGCUCCUGCUGCAUGGUGGGGGUUGGAAAGUUUCGGCGGUUGGGGAUGGACUCGCGGCUUAUCAGCUUGUUGGUGGGGUAGUGGCUUACCAAGGCUUUGACGGGUAGCCGGCCUGAGAGGGUGACCGGCCAAAUGGGGAAGGGGAUACGGCCCAGACCCCUACGGGGGGCAGGGGGGGGGAAUAUUGCACAAGGGGCGGAAGCCUGAUGCAGCAACGCCGGGUGGGGGAGGGCGGCCUUCGGGUGGUAAACCGCUUUCGCCUGUGACGAAGCGUGAGUGACGGGAAUGGGGAAAGAAGCACCGGCUAACUACGU